rnacentral:rRNA from 1 species
UACGUAGGUGGCGAGCGUUGUCCGGAUUUACUGGGCGUAAAGAGCGCGCAGGCGGUCGUACAAGUCGCGUGUGAAAGCCCCCGGCUCAACUGGGGAGGGUCACGCGAUACUGUUCGACUCGAAGGCAGGAGAGGGUAGUGGAAUUCCCGGUGUAGUGGUGAAAUGCGUAGAUAUGCGGAGGAACACCAGUGGCGAAGGCGACACGCUGGGCCGUACCUGACACUGAUGCGCGACAGCAUGGGGGAGCAAACAGG